UUACACUUUUUUCUCUUUCUAAUUUUCAUUCGCUUUUCCCUCGUCUCUCUCUUUCUCUCCUUCCCUCUUCUCUCUUCUCAAACCCUAAAAAUGUAUGAACAAAAAAAGCCACAGAUUUCCAUCCCCGCCGUCGCACACCCAAAUCACGUCGGGACUCCCAUCCCCAUCGUCGCCUCUUUCUCAUGCCACCACUGAUUUUGGUUCGUCGACAAACCCUAACACUACCCAUUAUUUUCAUUCCUGAACAUUAGAGAUCUACAAAUCUCAAAGAAGAAUAAACGAAAGUUGUGAGAUGGUGAAGUUGCAACAAUGACAAAUCUGUUUAGUUGAUUCUCGCAGUAGUGGAAAACGACAAGGUUUAUGGAUUUACAUUAGAGAGGAGAAAAAAUGGAACAGACAGAGUGAAUAUUUUCAUCAUCAUUUGUACCUCUCAUCUCUAGCAUGGAUCUGUGUAAGAAAAGUAUCAUGGAUCGGUGUUGUUGAUUGUCUAUCACCUCUAGCAUGGAUUACAUUUACCAGGAACGAUUGUUGUAAGUAAAGGGUGCAGGGUGAUCAUUUUUUAGGAUUUUAUCUUUUGGUGUCUUAUAACUCUUAUGUUUUCUAUGUCUUGCUUGAAUACUUAUCACUAGAUAUUUUCCUUUAGUAUGAUAUUAUGUCUCUAUGUUACAUUAGAUAUUUUUUAGUGACCUGUUUUUAUGUUCAUUGAUAAAUCAUGAAGGUUUGACUUCUAGAAAAGAUGAUGUAAAAAUGGUUUCAAGAGUGUAAGUCUAAAUCUUACUUUUCAAAAGAUAAGGUUAUCCAUCACUAGAUAUUUUCAGUGAUCUCUUUUUAUUUUUUAUUGCUUCCUAUUUUUCAGUUCAUGGAGCUUGAGAGAAAACUGAAAGAAUGAGAAUAAAACUCAUAAUCCAUGCUUAAACAACAGGUUCUAAUUUAUUUAUGUUAAACUAAAAGUGUAAGGUUGGUCAAACCAAGAGCAAGAAAGUGAUGACAUUGACAUCUUUUUAUUAUAUUACCAUGGAGCUAAUAAGAAUAAAAUAAUUUUGUUUUAAGGAAGCUGCUGAGUUUGCAGAAUUUGCUGCUUGGCAUGUUCAUUUGCUUUCCAUUAUGCAGAAAAUAUUCCAAUUUAGAAGCAAAGCGAAUAAGAGGUAAAGGUAAUGAAGAGGUAUGAAAAAGAAGGGACGUAGUUGGCAUUUUGGAAGCCUAUGAUACAUCUCAUUAGAGCUCGAAAUUGUUGUGAAUUUGAAAUUUUAUGGUGGUCUUAUCUUUGGUUUGUUCUACGGAGAAAAUUUGGUGUCUUUAGUUGUUUAAGACAAUUUUUUAUUUCAAGUUGAGUUGGCUUUUGAUAUAAUAUUUGUGCUAAAUUGUUUGUGAGAAGAUAUUUUUUUCAACACAAAUCAGUUCAAGUAUAUGGAUUUCCUUUACACUGUAAGAAGCUAAUACAUUGUGCAAAAUUCUUUGUGACAUUAUUUAUGGUUACUGACUUUUUACGAACCAGAAUUUCUUGUGCCAAAGAAUAAUGUUGCAGCUCACUAAACCAGUUUAAGUAUAUAGUGACAUUAUUUAUAGUUACUGACUUUUUAUCAACUAUAAUCUACAGUGAUUUAUACUAUAACUUUUCUUACUUAAAUUAUGAUAAACAGAUAGUGUCAGCCGAUAAUACUAACAAAUAAACUUAAAAACCAAAUUGGACAGUACCAGCGAAGUACCAACGAAAUUAUCAAUGCAACUUUUAAUUCUUGAUGGUUUGCACGAUAUUUGUUCAGUUCCUUUGUAAAUCUUUAUCCAAAUGCUAAAAAUCUUUUUGUUGAAAAGUGAAAACUUGUACUAGCAACAGGCUUUUGGUACACACAAUUAGUACAAACUACAAAGCAUCCCUGCAAUGAAUUACUAGCUAGGUAGUCUAUGUGCUAGAAUGCCAUGUCAAAAUCAUAGUAUGUCUGCCAUCACCAUUUUUCAAUAUAAUUUUUUAAACUAAAAAAUGGAACUAAUUUUUGAUACCUUUCUCUCUAUCUCUCUCC